GACGAACGCUGGCGGCGUGCUUAACACAUGCAAGUCGAACGGAAAGGCCCUGCUUUUGUGGGGUGCUCGAGUGGCGAACGGGUGAGUAACACGUGAGUAACCUGCCCUUGACUUUGGGAUAACUUCAGGAAACUGGGGCUAAUACCGGAUAGGAGCUCCUGCUGCAUGGUGGUGGUUGGAAAGUUUCGGCGGUUGGGGCUGGACUCGCGGCUUAUCAGCUUGUUGGUGGGGUAGUGGCUUACCAAGGCUUUGACGGGUAGCCGGCCUGAGAGGGUGACCGGGCACAUUGGGACUGGGAUACGGCCCAGAGGCCUACGGGAGGCAGCAGUGGGGAAUAUUGCACAAUGGGCGGAAGCAGGAAGCAGCAACGCCGCGUGGGGGAUGACGGCCUUCGGGUUGUAAAACGCUUUCGCCUGUGACGAAGCGUGAGUGACGGUAAUGGGUAAAGAAGCACCGGCUAACUACGU
rnacentral:rRNA from 1 species